GGGCCCAUAGUUCAAUGGUUAGAACAUGCCGUUCGCGUCGGCAGGAUUCGGGUUCGAUUCCCGAUGGGUCCA
rnacentral:tRNA from 1 species